GUGUGACAAGCGGUAAGAUGAAAUAUAUUUAGCGACAGUGUAAACAGCAUGAGCAAGUUAUAACGUAAUAUCCAGACUUUUCAUCCGUUCAAUAGCCCCAGGCUAUUCAGACCCCUUCGAGUUAAAAAUGUCCUCGAGCUUUUUUUUCGAACUUUCUCUAAGAACACUCUCGUGUGAUUGGGUCUAUGAUGUAGUUUACAGUAAUAUUGUUUGAUGGCUGAAUUUACUUUUCCACUACCUGAUUGCCGGAAUCAGUUGAAAACUACGUUCACUAUCCGUUUUCUACAACGAAAGUGGACAAAACGUUUUGGCGAGUGACCGGCCGAAUAGCAAACGACGGCAAAUAACGCAGCGAACUGUUUACUGAGAGUCGCAUCGCUAAAAACCACGCCUUAUCAUUAGCGUUAAGUUAGCGCGUGCACUGUUGACCGGUAAAACCGA